AUGAACGCUGGCGGCGUGCCUAAUACCUGCAAGUCGAGCGAACAGACGAGGAGCUUGCUCCUCUGACGUUAGCGGCGGACGGGUGAGUAACACGUGGAUAACCUACCUAUAAGACUGGGAUAACUUCGGGAAACCGGAGCUAAUACCGGAUAAUAUAUUGAACCGCAUGGUUCAAUAGUGAAAGACGGUUUUGCUGUCACUUAUAGAUGGAUCCGCGCCGCAUUAGCUAGUUGGUAAGGUAACGGCUUACCAAGGCGACGAUGCGUAGCCGACCUGAGAGGGUGAUCGGCCACACUGGAACUGAGACACGGUCCAGACUCCUACGGGAGGCAACAGUAGGGAAUCUUCCGCAAUGGGCGAAAGCCUGACGGAGCAACGCCGCGUGAGUGAUGAAGGUCUUCGGAUCGUAAAACUCUGUUAUUAGGGAAGAACAAAUGUGUAAGUAACUAUGCACGUCUUGACGGUACCUAAUCAGAAAGCCACGGCUAACUACGUG
rnacentral:rRNA from 1 species